CGCUCUCCCUGGAGUCCCCUCCACCGGCAUCCAGGCGCGGAGGGUGCGUGGGCGGCCAGCGCUUCCCCGGGUGCCCCUCUGGGCCGCGGGCGGAUUGCGAGGACGACGACGUCUGUCUGGCCCCGGGGCUUGUUGGCAGUCGCUGCGGGUGCUGGGCUGAGGCGGGAGGGGGGCGGCCGGGCUGCUCAUGGCAGUUGCCCCGUGGCGAUGCGUGCGCACAGCCCACGUAGCCCUCAUGCAGAAGGGUGCCUUCACACGAGGAGGCCACCCGUCCCCCUAGAUGCCACUCCAGCCAAGCGCAGCAGUUGGGGCGCCAAGCACGGUGCCUCUGCCGAGACGCCCCCUGCUGCUGGGACACCUGAGCUGCGGAUCGGCUUCAGGAGGGAAGCUCGCUCGCGGACGCAAAAUUCGCGCCAGGCGGCUGCCAGAACGUGCCGGGCUGUGGCACACGCCUUGCGGGGAAGGACAGGAUAGCGGAAAAUGCAGGCUGGAGCGUCUGCCGCGGUUGCAGGCGCUCUUGCCAUGCAGCUUUAUGGUGGGAGCGCAGGAGUCGUGCAGAAACAGGCAAGUGAGUUUGGGCAGGCGAAAAGCCAAGACAAAGUGCCCAAACCGUGCAGGAGCCGUAGUUUCUCUGAGUGGAUCCGCAGAGAUCGAACGCACCCAGCCCCCCAUGGGUGCCAGGUUCCGAUGCAACGGCGGGCCGUGCCUCCGUGGCCUCCGCUGUGGCUUGCCAUUGCACGCGGCCCACCCACGGAUUCCAGCCGAGCUGCCUCACAGGGCUGUCGUGAGGGCAGAAUCGGGAAGUGUGCAAGCCACCUUGGCUUCCUUCUAAGAAGGAAAAAUGAAGGAUAUGCAUGUAAUAAUUACUAUAUUGUGAUAGCGAGUUGCGUGUUCCUAAUUGGGUGCCGUGAUCUUGAUCUGUUGUGCCCCCGCCUGCAUGUGAAAUGGCAGUCGGGGAGAGGUGCUCCGUCCCUGCAAGCGUGCAGCGCGCCUGCGUGGCCUUCCUGCCCCAGGCGCCGGCACGGCCUGAUGGAGGGCCGCAGGGCACCUGGCUGCUGGGCAGGCAGCACUGAUGCACAGCCUGUGGCUCAAGCUGCCGGCAGCGUCUCCGUUUUACUGGUGCUUAAGAGCUGCAACCGACAAGAUGAAGGCCCCGCUAGUGGAGCGCUGUGCCCCCGCGGUGCCCAGGCGGGUGGCUGUGGCAAGCCCACGAUGGGGGUGUGUGCGCUGCCGUUCUCUCCUUGAGGCAGUGGCUGCGUUUGUGUCGGUGUUUCACCACUGCUCCCCCACAGGACAUUGAAGGGGCCCGGGAGUUUCCGUGCACGUGUGUUGCAUCCACACAGACAAGCAGUCGCUGUCCCGGGUUUCAGCCGAACCCCGUCCAAUCCGCUCAAGAUGCCAGAGGCUGAACUCCGUGGGUGCAGCUUCUCAUUCACGGACGCUUCUUCUGUAGCACUCUGGAUGUGGAUGCCGAUACAUCUGUAAAGCAGUCGGAAGCCGCAUCUCUCCUCACCAGGAGCAUGUCCUCCCCUUUUGCCCACGCUGCCAGCCAGCCACUCCCAUAAAAGAAAAUGAAGCUUACGGAUAGCGUGGGAUUUAGCUCUGCAGAAAUUAAGGUUCCAGCAGCCACGGUGGCCUCCCUGGUGCUUCUCUUGGCCGAUUUUAUUGUGAAAAAGAAAAGAAAUUGGCAUAAGCAAGAUACUGGUCAAACUACCGAAGUCAAACCAGCUCAGAAUGGUAGUCGGGCCUUCAUUAAGGGAUUCGACGUCAAACAUUCCCCAGAUUGUACCCAUGGGGAAAAAAUCAGCCCCGCACACACCCUUUCCCUUGACUUUUCGGAAAAGCAGCCGGGGAGCCUGCACUUGCGCACCUUGAUGAGCACCCGGCGGCCCCGAUAUCCUUUGUUGCUGGAGCCGCUCCCUGAAAGGCACUGCCAUGUUAUAUAUGCACCACCAAACCCUGCCUGGCAGUUCCUUGCAUCCACGUUGGUUCAAUAUCUUGCUUUCCCAGGAUCUGGGAAAGACCCACAGAUGAUGGACGCUAUGCCUGGCCAGCCCAAGUCCUUCAGGUCUUCCAGAGUCACCAAGGCUGUGCAUGGGAGCUACAUGAACAUCAGCAGCAGCAACUGUGCACCAGAAUUCCUACGCUAUGAAAUAAUCUCACAGCAUAACGGCCAGAAAGGAGGGUUGAUGUUUCCGAUGUCCACCAGGCGGAAGGACUGCAUGAUGGAGCUAAAGGAACACGUCGAUGAUUCCAGCAGCACCAACUGAAAAAGAGCUUGCAAUGCAAUUAACUUGGGAUUUUCCGACACGAGGCCAGCCUCUGAGGACAUUUCCCUCUGCUAACGCCGGCAGUCCGCGGCGAAUCACAGUGAGAUGUUUCUUGCUGGUCAAGUUGAUAAGUGUGACCAACGUACCGUUAAACGGGGACAAAACUUUUCAUCCCAUCAGGCUGGAUUUAGGCAACUUUGACCCCCGUGGAAGGCCUCGCCUUCGCACUGCACUUCCUGCAUAGCUUCAGUGUUGAAAUGCAGGUGAGGCAAGAAGGCUGAACUCGCUUUGUGCUACAAUAUUCAGCCAUAUCCAGUUCUAGAGAGACGGUGGGUUUGAUUCAGAUCUAGAUGUGUGCAACGGGCUGGCAAAAAGAGGCCCGUGCCCCCUCUUCUCCACAGCCGCCCCACACGGGCUAACCAGAAAUCAGGAGGGAUCUGCUGUUGAGCAGGGGCUGAAGGCAAAGAGGGGACCCCCAAAACUACGUAAGCACCCUUCACCUGCAACGCACACAUCCCGAGCCACCUCACUCGGCAGUGUCCCCCGAUCCCCGUGCAGCACCCGAGGUGCGGAGCCGGGAAGGAAAGAGGAGGAAGGAAGUCCGUUUCUGCCAGUUCUGUUGUCUGUGUCUGAAUCCAGAUACAAAAUUAUGUAUCUUCUUUGGGAUCAUUGUAGAGAGACUAGAAAUACUAAUACUGGAUUGUAGAGCUAGAAAAUGUUUUCCAUCAUUCUUUGGAAAAAGGAAAUAAAUAUUAGUUUCUCUGAUUCUCAAAUGAUACCUAACUUCAAUUCAUAUGCUUUUGAUGAAUUAGCAUAAAUGCAUCCUGGAAAAAUCAGGGAAACUAAAGAAGUGAAAAAGUAAACUAUCAAUUUCCAUUAUCCUAAAUUUUGUCCAAAAACUUUGUAUACCUUUUCACAAUCAGUACUCCUAGUCCAAUGCACAAUGGACUGAAAAUUUUAUACUGGGCAUCAGACAAAAAUGCAUUUUAGGGUGCCAUGAUACGCAUUAGAGGUGCUCCCCCACGGUGUCUUGUUGAGCAGCGUGCUGCAGAGCUAUCAGGUUU